rnacentral:rRNA from 1 species
UUGGCUUGACCCGAAGUCGGUCGCUUAACCUUCGGGAGGGCGCCGACCACGGUGUGGUCAAUGACUGGGGUGAAGUCGUAACAAGGUAGCCGUAGGUGAACCUGCAGAAGGAUCA